GGUCACUUCCGUUGAAGGUGACAGCGAUAUCCAGGAGGCAAACUGGUACAAAAUAAUUUCUUCACUCGCUCUCACUGAUCUCAGUGAAAGUCAGAACCUUUCAGCAAAUCGGAGAGAGGGCAUCAAGUUGGAGGAAAGGAAAGCCGUUCAAGGGUCAAUACCAUGCACCUUUACUGCAUCGUGGCUGUGGCCGUGGUAGCUUUGACAUCACAUCACGUGACAGGCCAGGCAGGCGAACCAGUGUGCCACAUCAUUUCAGACAUUACUAACAGAAUGUGUCAAAGCUUCUAACUUGAACGAAAAGGAAUUUUUAUGGUUCGUGUCCAAUGGAACGAGCCCUGGAGGACAAGCGCCAGCAGAUCCAGCUGCUUUUCAAAAACAAAUUUGCCCGGCCCAGCAAACCAUCGGCACGUGCGUUUUCAGUCAGGCUGGAAAUUUGCUCAACUCCUCCGUGUGUCAGGGACAGGCCAGUGUGGCUACCAGAGUGGAAACUUUGUUCCAGACUUUCGACUUAAAGUGCGCUCACCCAUGUCGCUUUACACUUCUGAACGAUCUUCAGAAAUGCUACACCUCCAACGGCCUGAAGGCAGACCUGUUCCUGUCCAACAGAUCCCGAGGACAUGUAAUCGGCUCUGAUGCAAGCGAAGUCGCCAGCUUCUGUAGUAAGAUGGACGCAUUACUCAACUGCAUGAAGCCUUUAACAAAUGACUGCCCAGAAACUGUCGCAAUCCUUCAACAAGUAGCUUUGACCUGCAGUCCUAUGAGAAGGGAAUUGGCAUUCUCUGUCGACACAAAGACAUUUACCUCCAGGGGCUGAUGUGCUACGAAACUCCCACACCCGAGGUGGAAGCAUGCACGCAGAAGCAAACGCAGUCCUUCCUGCAGCUGCUGGCGCAGGCGCGACAGCAAAGUCUGCCUCCGGACCGAUUCAUGGAGAGCAGCUGCACAAUCACCGUUCGCCAGAUUGACUGCGACCUGACGGCGUGGGACGCCUCCACCCACGAGGCCUGUACAGAUGCUGUCAUCGGCCUCCGCCGGGAGCUGGAGUGCAGUCUCAUGUCCCCCAACUGCCCCACCCUCGUCAAGCAGGCUUACGACACCACGUGUAACCCAAGCAAGUUCUUCGGCAAUCAACGUGGGGUCACCGGGGCAAGCUUUGCCAGCGACAGCUCCGUCCAGGUCACGGGGUCAAUGUUCUUCUUGUCCUUCAUCCUGCUUCUCUUAUCUGUCUUCGUUGAGCCCGGGUUAACCCUUCCCGUCAACGUGGCGUCAGAUUAUUCCCGACUCUCAGACCUCUGGCUAGAUGUUACAAAACUGGAAAAGUGAGGAGAGGGUGUGACCAGUCACGAUGUAGGAAUGGAAAUUGUGUGGGUACUAGGGAGGGGUCUUUAGGACUGUUACGUCGAUGUUAGAAGCCAACAACUGCUAAGACUUCGCAUGCUUAUAUACUGGCUGGAAAAUUACUCAAAAUCAGAUUUUAAGCUUUCACAUUUAUUUUAUUAGUUUCUCUUAAUACUUCCCUCUUUUUCUAUUCCAAUUUUGCCAUCUUGGGAUUUAGUGCUCAUGUGCAAAUACCCUCCUAAACAAACCUUGCAUACUGUAAGUAAAACGUAAACAAACGAUACAGAUGUGAUAAUUCUCAAAAACUAAGACAUACACAUUAACGGUCAUAAAUUUUAGAACUAUCUGUUUUAUUAAAAGACAUUUGCUGUUUACAGGUGUGUCAGUAAUUUCUUUCACUUGGUGUAUUAUUUUUUAUUUACUUUUCUUUUCGUUUUUCUUUAUUUAAACUGAUGAAUGUUGUUCAAAAAGGAUCAAAUAACCCUUUUUGGAAACGGAUUGGUGAAAAUCCGAAGUGUAUUAUAACUGAUGCAUGUAAAAUUGCUUUUAAAUAUUAUGUUUCAUUCUUAGCAACUGGCUUCACACGAAAUACUCUGAAUAACAUUUUAAUAAAAGUAUUUUAACGUUUUCACCAUUUAAUAAUUUGAACUGUUCACUGUUUCCUUUAUUGUGUUACUUCAUUUUGACAAUGUCCAUAGUUAUUGUUAAUAAUAUCAAGCUCGCGACUAUUUUGGCAAUAGUGUUAAAGUAAACACUUGAUUAUUCCUCAUGCUGAUCUCUUAUAAAAUACUUUGGAGACUUCUUAAUCAUUUUUUGCUUGUAGGUUUUAAAUUUUAAUUUUUGUAAUCCAACGAAAUCAAAGCUCUUAUCAGUCAAGACUAGUAAUAUUUUUCGUAGCUUUAAUAACCAGUCUACCGUACAGAAAAAAACCACCACAACAAACAAACCAAAAGUACCAUUCAUUUCGCCUGCGAUAAUAGGCAAGCAACAGACGGAGGUUUACCUGACAGAAGUGUCCAGUAUUUAUGAAACGGGUAUCGGGUACCAUACUCUAGUAUCUUUAUCCGAAGAAAGCACACUUUAUUCGAUCUUCCUCAGGGCUAGUAUUCCUGGAGUACAUUUGAGGUAACCCAGGCUAGACUUGGGAGAUCUGCUACCUACAAGUACUGAUUAAAAUGUUAGGAAAGCUUUUUCUUAAGCUGUCAGUCCUUUUCUGCCUAAUUCAAUCAUUUAAUUAAUCGCUGUAGUUGGCUGGUUGUUCCUGAAUGAUUGAUUCAAAUGCAACCGAAAUUAAAGUUUUAUGACGCUGUAGCAAAUCAGAGUUCAUGUUUUAGAUUGUUGGUAUUUGUCACUCAUUGUAAGCAAUAAAUUAACAUUUAAAUGUAAUACUAAAAUUUAAAAUAAAUGUAUCUGAAACCGAUA